GACGAACCGUCCAAACGUUGUUCGGAAUCACUGGGCUUAAAGGGCGCGUAGGCGGGCUGCCAAGUCUGGGGUGAAAUCCUCCGGCUCAACCGGGGAAGGGCCUCGGAUACUGGCGAUCUCGAGGGGGGUAGGGGCGUGCGGAACUGUGGGUGGAGCGGUGAAAUGCGUUGAUAUCCACAGGAACUCCGGUGGCGAAGGCGGCACGCUGGACCUCAACUGACGCUGAGGCGCGAAAGCCAGGGGAGCGAACGGG
rnacentral:rRNA from 1 species